GACGAACGCUGGCGGCGUGCUUAACACAUGCAAGUCGAACGGACAGGCCCUGCUUUUGUGGGGUGCUCGAGUGGCGAACGGGUGAGUAACACGUGAGUAACCUGCCCUUGACUUAGGGAUAACUUCAGGAAACUGGGGCUAAUACCGGAUAGGAGCUCCUGCUGCAUGGUGGGGGUUGGAAAGUUUCGGCGGUUGGGGAUGGACUCGCGGGUUAUCAGCUGGCUGGUGGGGUAGUGGCUUACCAAGGCUUUGACGGGUAGCCGGCCUGAGAGGGGGAUCGGCCACACUGGAACUGAGACACGGGCCAGACUCCUACGGGAGGCAGCAGUAGGGAAUCUGCCGCAAUGGGCGAAAGCCUGACGGAGCAACGCCGCGUGAGUGAGGAAGGUCUUCGGAUCGUAAAGCUCUGUUGUUAGGGAAGAACAAGUGGGUGAGUAACUGUGCGCGUCAUGACGGUACCUAAUCAGAAAGCCACGGCUAACUACGUG
rnacentral:rRNA from 1 species